rnacentral:rRNA from 1 species
UGAAUACGAGACGCUAAGGCGUCGAAGUAGUGUAUGUCAUACUUCCAAGAAAAGCUUGCACUGUCAUAAGUAAAAAAUGCCUGUACCACAACCGACACAGGUGGGUAGGUAGAGUAUACUAAGGGGCGCGAGAUAACUCUCUCUAAGGAACUCGGCAAAAUAACUCCGUAACUUCGGGAGAAGGAGUACCUUAUUCUAUAAGGUUGCAAUAACAAGAUCCAAGCAACUGUUUAUCAAAAACACAGGUCUCCGCUAAGUCGUAAGACGAUGUAUGGGGGCUGACGCCUGCCCAGUGCCAGAAGGUUAAAGAAGUCGGUUAGCAUUAGCGAAGCUGGUAACUGAAGCCCUGGUGAACGGCGGCCGUAACUAUAACGGUCCUAAGGUAGCGAAAUUCCUUGUCGGGUAAGUUCCGACCUGCACGAAAGGCGUAAUGAUUUGGAUACUGUCUCGGAGAGGGGCUCGGUGAAAUAGACCUGUCUGUGAAGAUGCGGACUACCUGCACCAGGACAGAAAGACUCUAUGAAGCUUUACUGUAACUUGAAAUUGAAAUUGGACUUUAUUCGCGCAGUAUAGGUGGGAGGUGUUGAUUAUAAUCUUGCGGGAUUAUUGGAGCCAUCAGUGAGAUACCACUCUCGUAAUGUUAGAUUUCUAACUUUGAAUCAUUAUCUGGUCAAAGGACAGUUUCAGGCGGGCAGUUUGACUGGGGCGGUCGCCUCCCAAACGGUAACGGAGGCGUACAAAGGUUUCCUCUGAACGGGUAGAAAUCGUAUCUAGAGUGUAAAGGCAUAAGGAAGCUUGACUGUGAGACCUACAAGUCGAACAGGGACGAAAGUCGGUCUUAGUGAUCUGACGGUACUGAGUGGAAAGGCCGUCACUCAACGGAUAAAAGUUACUCUAGGAUAACAGGCUGAUCUCCCCCAAGAGUUCACAUCGACGGGGAGGUUUGGCACCUGAUGUCGGCUCAUCGCAUCCUGGGGCGGUAGUACGUCCCAAGGGUUGGGCUGUUCGCCCAUGAAAGCGGUACGCGAGCUGGGUUCAGAACGUCGUGAGACAGUUCGGUCCAUAUCCGGUGUAGGCGUUAGAAUAUUGAGAGGAGCCUUCUUUAGUACGAGAGGACCGAGAAGGACAUACCUCUGGUGUACCAGUUAUCGUGCCAACGGUAAACGCUGGGUAGCUAUGUAUGGAGUGGAUAACCGCUGAAAGCAUCUAAGUGGGAAGCCCACCUCAAGAUAAG